GAUCUCUUGUGGCGCAAUCGAAUAGCGCGUUCGGCUGAUAACCGAAAGGUUGGUGGUUCAAGCCCACCCAGGAUCG